rnacentral:tRNA from 1 species
GGGUCGUAGCUCAACGGUUAGAGCAGGGGACUCAUAAUCCCUUGGUUGGUGGUUCGAAUCCUCCCGAC